rnacentral:rRNA from 1 species
CCUACGGGGGGCUGCAGUGAGGAAUCUUGCGCAAUGGGGGCAACCCUGACGCAGCAACGCCGCGUGAGUGAGGAAGGCCUUCGGGUCGUAAAGCUCUGUCGGAUGGAAAGAAACGGAUGCGGGUUAAUAGCCUUCAUCCCUGACGGUACCAUCAGAGGAAGCACCGGCUAACUCCGUGCCAGCAGCCGCGGUAAUACGGGGGGUGCAAGCGUUGUUCGGAAUCAUUGGGCGUAAAGCGCGUGUAGGCGGCUUGGUAAGUCAGGUGUGAAAGCCCUGGGCUCAACCCAGGAAGUGCACUUGAAACUGCCUUGCUUGAGUACGGGAGAGGAAAGCGGAAUUCCUGGUGUAGAGGUGAAAUUCGUAGAUAUCAGGAGGAACACCGGUGGCGAAGGCGGCUUUCUGGCCCAAUACUGACGCUGAGACGCGAAAGCGUGGGGAGCAAACAGGAUUAGAUACCCCAGUAGUC